rnacentral:rRNA from 1 species
UACGUAGGGAGCAAGCGUUGUCCGGAAUCAUUGGGCGUAAAGCGCGCGUAGGUGGCCAUGUAAGUCCGCUGUGAAAGUCAAAGGCUCAACCUUUGAAAGCCGAUGGAUACUGCGGAGCUAGAGUACGGAAGAGGCGAGUGGAAUUCCUGGUGUAGCGGUGGAAUGCGCAGAUAUCAGGAGGAACACCAAUAGCGAAGGCAGCUCGCUGGGACGUUACUGACACUGAGGCGCGAAAGCGUGGGGAGCGAACAGG